AGGUACGCUACAAAACUAAAACUCCACUACUCGAGCAAGCGUCGUCUUCCAUGCCUGAAAACUUCGGAGGAUUUUACAACGAGUUCUUCGACGCUGGCGUCCGCUGCAAAUGCAAGGAUAGAAAACGAGUUAGAUCGAGAGGAACAAGAACAGACGGCACUGCUCGAGGCUCUCAAGCAGUGGAAGACUCAAGUUGCUUGGACGAAGUUUGAGACAAUGACGAAGAAGCUGGGUGUCUUACCGGAUAGAGUGUGUGUGAGCAGGCUUGUAGCACAGCUCUGCCACCAAGGGACGGCGGCCAGUGUGUCCAAGGCACAGCAGAUAAUGGUGGAGCUCCGGCAGAAGAGGAAAGUGUCCGAGCUCGUCGACUGCGAUGCAAUGGGAUUGUUAGUGAUGGCGUCGGCGAGAGUUGGGACCGCUCACUACUCGCUGGGAGUACUAAGGACGAUGCUGGAGCUGGGAUAUCACCCACCUGUAAAAGUUUGGAGCGCAGUGGUGUCGAAGCUCGGGAAAAACGUUGAUGACGCUCAGCUCGCUCUCAAAGUUUUUGACGAGGUUUGCCAGUGCGUUGUGGAGCAAGGAAUGAUCCAGCUGCACAGAAAGAUGGAAGUUGAUGGGAAGUUUGUCGACGAGAAGCUUACCAAGAGUGAUGAAGACAAAGCUCUGAUCGCUGUCGAUGAGACAAAGCUAGCGAGACGUAGCGACGAAAAUACGUUUGGUACUAGUUCUGGCUACUCUGAAAAGAAAGAAGCCACUUCAACACUCCUCGUAGUGACUGCUGAAAGGGAAGAAAUCGACGACUUAGAAUCAGAGCAAAGUGAAAAACUCACAAACAUACAACUCAAGGAGGAAAGGCAAGCACUUAAGAGGAUGAAACCUGACACGGGAGCUUUCAACGCAGCACUCAACGCCUGCGCAAACAUCGGCAACUUGGAGCGAGCAGAGCAACUCUGGGAACUCAUGCCAGCAUUCGGAGUAAAAGCAAACACGCUCACCUUCAACGUCAUGAUCAAGCUGUACGCUCGAGUCGAGAAGCUGGACAAGCUCGAACAAAUCCUCCACACAAUGGCCGACGCAGA
rnacentral:lncRNA from 1 species